UUUUCUAGCCGUUACCAUUUU
rnacentral:piRNA from 1 species